rnacentral:lncRNA from 1 species
AUAGCCCAGUCACACCGGUGAGGCGGUGACAUCGCACGCCAAUGCCGCCCGGUGAGGCAAGGCCAAGAAGUUGCGACAGCGGCUGUCUCGAAGCCAUUGCUGACAGCAUGGAUGACACUGGCAACCUGAAAUUACAAAAGGUAAGCAAACCCCCGUGGUUUCCUCCUCUUCUCAGCCUCCUCGUCACCAUCGCCGGAUGCGCAUGCUCUUGGUCGUUUCGAGUUAUUCAGAUUUUUUUUGUUUUCUUAUGUCAUCCGUUUCACUUGUAGCUCGAAACAUUUCCAGAUAUUCACGAUCCGUAAGUGUGCGGCGCCGGCCGCUCAAUCGAUCGGUUUAAUUCGUUCUCGUGUUCGAUUUUAGUUUUAGGUUUGCUGCUCAAUCGAAUUAAUUCCUGAUCGAUGUAUGUGUGUUUUUGUAUAUUGCAACUAUGGAAGGAUGGAGCGGCUGUGGCCGAACUGGCGGGACCUGUUUAUCGCCGCCACACGAACUUUGACAUGGACAAGAUACUCUUCUAGCUGCAGAGCUCAUGUCUCUACCUCAAUACUAACAUGUUUAAUUGCAUUCUAGAUAAGCGAACAUGUCAAGGUGACUAUACUUUGGUGCUAACUUUAUUGAUGCAUAAUUUCAUCAUUCAAAUUUCUGGUGUCACUAGACAAGCACUGGCCUUCCCUGUACUGCUCAUCCUCCUCUACCUCUUUCAGUGGCAAGGGGCCCUUCUGGGCCCAUGAGGCAUAUUUGGUUUUAUAAAUCUGAACUGAUGGAUUGUAUUGUACAAGUACAGUCAGAAUUGUAGCUAACCUUUUGUGAUGUUUUCCUGUAUGUUGUUGGAAUUUGCUGCUUGGUCAUUCGCUGCGUAUCUUUA